rnacentral:lncRNA from 1 species
CUGAAUAGAUAAAAUCUAUAGGGUGUAAGUAGAUUUUUCAAAAGAAAAAAGAAUGCAGACAGAAAGAUGGAGACCUAUAAAGUCUAUUUGUCAAAAGAUAUCAUCAAUGUUAUGGUAUUGACUAUGACGAGAUAUUUUCUUAUGUGGCAAUGCUCAAGUCUAAUUAGAUUAUGCUUGCGAUAGCAGCAUACCUUGAUUACAAAAUCUGAUAGAUGGAUGUU